AGACCCGAAACCCGGUGAUCUAGCCAUGGGCAGGUUGAAGGUUGGGUAACACUAACUGGAGGACCGAACCGACUAAUGUUGAAAAAUUAGCGGAUGACCUGUGGCUGGGGGUGAAAGGCCAAUCAAACCGGGAGAUAGCUGGUUCUCCCCGAAAGCUAUUUAGGUAGCGCCUCGUGAAUUCAUCUCCGGGGGUAGAGCACUGUUUCGGCUAGGGGGCCAUCCCGGCUUACCAACCCGAUGCAAACUGCGAAUACCGGAGAAUGUUAUCACGGGAGACACACGGCGGGUGCUAACGUCCGUCGUGAAGAGGGAAACAACCCAGACCGCCAGCUAAGGUCCCAAAGUCAUGGUUAAGUGGGAAACGAUGUGGGAAGGCCCAGACAGCCAGGAUGUUGGCUUAGAAGCAGCCAUCAUUUAAAGAAAGCGUAAUAGCUCACUGGUCGAGUCGGCCUGCGCGGAAGAUGUAACGGGGCUAAACCAUGCACCGAAGCUGCGGCAGCGACACUAUGUGUUGUUGGGUAGGGGAGCGUUCUGUAAGCCUGUGAAGGUGGCCUGUGAGGGUUGCUGGAGGUAUCAGAAGUGCGAAUGCUGACAUAAGUAACGAUAAAGCGGGUGAAAAGCCCGCUCGCCGGAAGACCAAGGGUUCCUGUCCAACGUUAAUCGGGGCAGGGUGAGUCGACCCCUAAGGCGAGGCCGAAAGGCGUAGUCGAUGGGAAACGGGUUAAUAUUCCCGUACUUGGUGUUACUGCGAAGGGGGGACGGAGAAGGCUAUGUUGGCCGGGCGACGGUUGUCCCGGUUUAAGCGUGUAGGUGUGUGUUCCAGGUAAAUCCGGUUCACUUUAACACUGAGGCGUGAUGACGAGGCACUACGGUGCUGAAGCAACAAAUGCCCUGCUUCCAGGAAAAGCCUCUAAGCAUCAGGUAACAUCAAAUCGUACCCCAAACCGACACAGGUGGUCAGGUAGAGAAUACCAAGGCGCUUGAGAGAACUCGGGUGAAGGAACUAGGCAAAAUGGUGCCGUAACUUCGGGAGAAGGCACGCUGACACGUAGGUGAAGUGAUUUACUCAUGGAGCUGAAGUCAGUCGAAGAUACCAGCUGGCUGCAACUGUUUAUUAAAAACACAGCACUGUGCAAACACGAAAGUGGACGUAUACGGUGUGACGCCUGCCCGGUGCCGGAAGGUUAAUUGAUGGGGUCAGCGCAAGCGAAGCUCCUGAUCGAAGCCCCGGUAAACGGCGGCCGUAACUAUAACGGUCCUAAGGUAGCGAAAUUCCUUGUCGGGUAAGUUCCGACCUGCACGAAUGGCGUAAUGAUGGCCAGGCUGUCUCCACCCGAGACUCAGUGAAAUUGAACUCGCUGUGAAGAUGCAGUGUACCCGCGGCAAGACGGAAAGACCCCGUGAACCUUUACUAUAGCUUGACACUGAACAUUGAGCCUUGAUGUGUAGGAUAGGUGGGAGGCUUUGAAGUGUGGACGCCAGUCUGCAUGGAGCCGACCUUGAAAUACCACCCUUUAAUGUUUGAUGUUCUAACGUGGACCCGUGAUCCGGGUUGCGGACAGUGUCUGGUGGGUAGUUUGACUGGGGCGGUCUCCUCCUAAAGAGUAACGGAGGAGCACGAAGGUUGGCUAAUCCUGGUCGGACAUCAGGAGGUUAGUGCAAUGGCAUAAGCCAGCUUGACUGCGAGCGUGACGGCGCGAGCAGGUGCGAAAGCAGGUCAUAGUGAUCCGGUGGUUCUGAAUGGAAGGGCCAUCGCUCAACGGAUAAAAGGUACUCCGGGGAUAACAGGCUGAUACCGCCCAAGAGUUCAUAUCGACGGCGGUGUUUGGCACCUCGAUGUCGGCUCAUCACAUCCUGGGGCUGAAGUAGGUCCCAAGGGUAUGGCUGUUCGCCAUUUAAAGUGGUACGCGAGCUGGGUUUAGAACGUCGUGAGACAGUUCGGUCCCUAUCUGCCGUGGGCGCUGGAGAACUGAGGGGGGCUGCUCCUAGUACGAGAGGACCGGAGUGGACGCAUCACUGGUGUUCGGGUUGUCAUGCCAAUGGCACUGCCCGGUAGCUAAAUGCGGAAGAGAUAAGUGCUGAAAGCAUCUAAGCACGAAACUUGCCCCGAGAUGAGUUCUCCCUGAGACUUAAAGUCUCCUGAAGGAACGUUGAAGACGACGACGUUGAUAGGCCGGGUGUGUAAGCGCAGCGAUGCGUUGAGCUAACCGGUACUAAUGAACCGUGAGGCUUAACCUUACA
rnacentral:rRNA from 1 species